GACGAACGCUGGCGGCGUGCUUAACACAUGCAAGUCGAACGGAAAGGCCCUGCUUUUGUGGGGUGCUCGAGUGGCGAACGGGUGAGUAACACGUGAGUAACCUGCCCUUGACUUUGGGAUAACUUCAGGAAACUGGGGCUAAUACCGGAUAGGAGCUCCUGCUGCAUGGUGGGGGUUGGAAAGUUUCGGCGGUUGGGGAUGGACUCGCGGCUUAUCAGCUUGUCGGUGGGGUAGUGGCUUACCAAGGCUUUGACGGGUAGCCGGCCUGAGAGGGUGACCGGCCACAGUGGGACUGAGGUACGGCCCAGACUGCUACGGGAGGCAGAAGUGGGGAAUAUUGCACGAUGGGCGGAAGCCGGAUGCAGCAACGCCGCGUGCGGGAUGACGGCCUUCGGGUUGUAAACCGCUUUCGCCUGUGACGAAGCGUGAGUGACGGUAAUGGGUAAAGAAGCACCGGCUAACUACGUG
rnacentral:rRNA from 1 species